GACGAACGCUGGCGGCGUGCUUAACACAUGCAAGUCGAACGAAAAGGCCAGGCUUUUGUGGGGUGCUCGAGUGGCGAACGGGGGUGUGACACGUGAGUAAACUGCCCUUGACUGUGGGAUAACUUCAGGAAACUGGGGCGAAUACCGGAUAGAAGCUCCUGCUGCAUGUUGUUGGUUGGAAAGAUUCGGCGGUGUUGGAUGGACUCGCGGCUUAUCAGCUUGUUGGUGGGGUAGUGGCUGACCAAGGCUAUGACGGGUAGCCGGCCUGAGAGGGUGACCGGCCACAUUGGGACUGCGAUACGGCCCAGACGCCUACGGGCGGCAGUAGUGGGGAAUAUUGCAGAAUGGGCGGAAGCCUGAUGCAGCAACGCCGCGUGCGGGAUGACGGCCUUCGGGUUGUAAACCGAUUUCGACUGUGACGAAGCGUGAGUGACGGUAAUGGGUAAAGAAGCACCGGCUAACUACGUG
rnacentral:rRNA from 1 species